rnacentral:pre_miRNA from 1 species
GAGUUUCGCUUUGUGUUCACUGCGUGAGCCUUGUUGCUUUAUUAACGAACCAUAAGGCACGCGGUGAAUGCCAAACGAUUCUCG